rnacentral:rRNA from 1 species
CCUACGGGAGGCAGCAGUGAGGAAUAUUGGUCAAUGGGCGCGAGCCUGAACCAGCCAAGUAGCGUGAAGGAUGACUGCCCUACGGGUUGUAAACUUCUUUUAUAAAGGAAUCAAGUGAGGCACGUGUACCUUUUUGUCUGUACUUUAUGAAUAAGGAUCGGCUAACUCCGUGCCAGCAGCCGCGGUAAUACGGAGGAUCCGAGCGUUAUCCGGAUUUAUUGGGUUUAAAGGGGGCGGAGAUGGGUUGUUAAGUCAGUUGUGAAAGUUUGGGGCUCAACCGUAAAAUUGCAAUUGAUACUGGCAGCCUUGAGUACAGUUGAGGUAGGCGGAAUGCGUGGUGUAGCGGUGAAAUGCUUAGAUAUCACGAAGAACUCCGAUAGCGAAGGCAGCCUACUAAACUGCCACUGACAUUGAUGCUCGAAAGUGUGGGUAUCAAACAGGAUUAGAUACCCGGGUAGUC